rnacentral:lncRNA from 1 species
UUUAUGCUGUGUGUCCCUGAUAAAAUUAUGCAAGGAUAUAAAAAAGCUCUAAGUUUAGACUCAAGUUAAGAUUUUUUUUUUUGUAACUAACUCAAGUUAAGAUUUGUGUUGUGGAAUUGGUUGGAUAUGAAAAGUUGAAGGCUAGGCGAAGAGUGAUUCUCCUGGAUUGAGGCCAUGGUACGUGACUUCUGGAGGGUGACUCUGCACUUCAACGAGAUUGCUUAAUGCUUAACAUGUUUGGUUUAAAUUUAAAAUUUUAUUCACUUCUAUAUGUGAAAUAGUACAUGGCUCUUUCUUGCCAUAAAAAGUAAACAUAAUUUAAUGGUGAAAUUGUCUUAUUAGCUCAUAUCAAACUUUUAGUUGUUCAAAACUGUUAAAAAAAAAGAGAGUUUUACUUGUAUGUUAUGUUCGUUUUAAUCGAAU